rnacentral:rRNA from 1 species
ACUCCUACGGGAGGCAGCAGUGGGGGAAUAUUGCACAAUGGGCGCAAGCCUGAUGCAGCAACGCCGUGUGAGUGAAGAAGGUUUUCGGAUCGUAAAACUCUGUCCUAAGGGAAGAAACAAAUGACGGUACCUUAGGAGGAAGCCCCGGCUAACUACGUGCCAGCAGCCGCGGUAAUACGUAGGGGGCAAGCGUUAUCCGGAAUCACUGGGGCGUAAAGGGGUGCGUAGGCGGCUUAGCAAGCCAGGGGUGAAAGGCAUUGGCUCAACCAAUGUAAGCCUUUGGAACUGUUAAGCUUGAGUGCAGGAGAGGUAAGUGGAAUUCCUAGUGUAGAGGUGAAAUUCGUAGAUAUUAGGAGGAACACCAGUGGCGAAGGCGACUUACUGGACUGUAACUGACGCUGAUGCACGAAAGCGUGGGUAGCGAACAGGAUUAGAUACCCUGGUAGCACAGAG